rnacentral:rRNA from 1 species
GAUGAACGCUGGCGGCGUGCCUAAUACAUGCAAGUCGAGCGAACGGACGAGAAGCUUGCUUCUCUGAUGUUAGCGGCGGACGGGUGAGUAACACGUGGAUAACCUACCUAUAAGACUGGGAUAACUUCGGGAAACCGGAGCUAAUACCGGAUAAUAUUUUGAACCGCAUGGUUCAAAAGUGAAAGACGGUCUUGCUGUCACUUAUAGAUGGAUCCGCGCUGCAUUAGCUAGUUGGUAAGGUAACGGCUUACCAAGGCAACGAUGCAUGGCCGACCUGAGAGGGUGAUCGGCCACCCUGGAACUGAGACACGGUCCAGACUCCUACGGGAGGCAGCAGUAGGGAAUCUUCCGCAAUGGGCGAAAGCCUGACGGAGCAACGCCGCGUGAGUGAUGAAGGUCUUCGGAUCGUAAAACUCUGUUAUUAGGGAAGAACAUAUGUGUAAGUAACUGUGCACAUCUUGACGGUACCUAAUCAGAAAGCCACGGCUAACUACGUG